rnacentral:rRNA from 1 species
AUUGAACGCUGGCGGCAGGCCCAACACAUGCAAGUCGAACGGUAACAGGAAGCAGCUUGCUGCUUUGCUGACGAGUGGCGGACGGGUGAGUAAUGUCUGGGAAACUGCCUGAUGGAGGGGGAUAACUACUGGAAACGGUAGCUAAUACCGCACAACGUCGCAAGACCAAAGAGGGGGACCUUAGGGCCUCUUGCCAUCGGAUGUGCCCAGAUGGGAUUAGCUAGUAGGUGGGGUAACGGCUCACCUAGGCGACGAUCCCUAGCUGGUCUGAGAGGAUGACCAGCCACACUGGAACUGAGACACGGUCCAGACUCCUACGGGAGGCAGCAGUGGGGAAUAUUGCACAAUGGGCGCAAGCCUGAUGCAGCCAUGCCGCGUGUAUGAAGAAGGCCUUCGGGUUGUAAAGUACUUUCAGCGGGGAGGAAGGGAGUAAAGUUAAUACCUUUGCUCAUUGACGUUACCCGCAGAAGAAGCACCGGCUAACUCCGUG